rnacentral:lncRNA from 1 species
AGAGUGGCACUCUGAGAGGCUCAAAAGGAAGCUUCCUCCCCCAAAUGCCAUCCUCAACAUAACCGUGAAACAAAAAUGGCGCAUCUCAGAAGGACCUUGGUGGUGUCGUUGGAAGGGGGCAAGUCGUAUAUCCUCAUCCAGAUAUGUGGGAAGUUCCGUGAAUAAAUCUGCAAAUAUCUUAAGAUGAAAUGUUCCUCUCCCCACCGGGAGCCCUGACUCUAGCGAAGGAAAGCUUGACCUCCAAGAGAUGAGCUGCUGUCCACCCCAUCAGCCCUCAACACCAGACCACCAGGAAGGACAGACGCUCAGGAGCCACAGCCGCUGCCACCAUCCCCUCAGACACCACGAACAGCCCCUUCACUGUUCCUGGCUGUGUCUGCCUCUAUGAGCUGCCCCCAAACUCCUUGCAGAUUUAGGAACUGAUGAAUAAAAAUGAGUAACACCUG